UACGGAGGGUGCAAGCGUUGCUCGGAAUUAUUGGGCGUAAAGGGUAGGUAGGUGGUCUCAUUUGUCUGAUGUGAAAGCCUUGGGCUUAACUCAAGAAGUGCGUCAGAAACGGUGAGACUCGAGUACUGGAGAGGGUCGUGGAAUUCCCGGUGUAGCGGUGAAAUGCGUAGAGAUCGGGAGGAACACCAGAGGCGAAGGCGGCGACCUGGACAGUUACUGACACUCAACUACGAAAGCGUGGGGAGCAAACAG
rnacentral:rRNA from 1 species